rnacentral:misc_RNA from 1 species
UUAACUAUUUUAUAGUACUCGGACAACACUAAUAUUCAGAGUUUAGGGUCCUCUGGCAGGCGCUUACCAGCCGGAGCCGGUAGCCUGACCGAAGCCUGACGGCCUGCCAAAGCAACAAAGGUAAUAUAUAACAUAGGGUGGGAGAUCUACCCGUAAGGGCAUGAACUCGGUAAUGAUCCCUCCGCAGGUUCACCUACGGAGA